rnacentral:lncRNA from 1 species
CUGAUAUCUCAGAGACAAAGCUAGAAAAAAAAGUGAAAUUAUUUUACACAGUCAUUGAUUAAGCUUGAUGCCUUUUAGUGUCCCCUGGUGCUGCUUGUGGAACAAUGAGCCCUGAGCACUGCCCUUAGGAAGAGGAAAUAGCACCUACAGACUUUAAACAAGAAGAAUGAGGGGCAAAAUCUCAGCACAGCUCUGCAAUGGCUUCACGUAUCCUCAGAAGUGCAUCUUGCCUUCCAUCCAUGGCUCACUCAGCCCCACAACUGUAAUGCUAAGGUUAAUUUGUGACAAGGAGUUUCCCUCCUUUGAGAUGGUUCCCCCUCAGCUGAUUUACACAACGGGAUUUAUUGGCUUUGCAUGAUCCAUCUCCAUUCCUCACCCAUCAGAUGUAGCAGUUGUCUCUGGAAAUCCAUUAAU